GAGCCAGCUCAGCCCAGUGGUUCCAUCGACCAAAGCAUUGCUUUGAUCCCCCAAUCGCUUUGAUUACGGUUUGACACCCGCGGGCGCUGCCUGGCUUUAAA
ensembl:vault_RNA Vault Vault RNA